rnacentral:misc_RNA from 1 species
AAGUCGUAACAAGGUUUCCGUAGGUGAACCUGCGGAAGGAUCAUUAAAAAAAUACGCCUGGUGAAAGUGUGAAAACACUGAAUCCAGUGUUGUAUACAACCACCUGUUUACCGUUACCUGUUGCUUCCAUGGAAUUAAGGGUGCUCUACCUGUUCGCAGACCGGAGUUAACUCCCAUGAAAGGACCUAAAAAAUUGUUUUGUAUUAUUGUCUGAUCUAAAAUUUUAAUAAAAGUUAAAACUUUCAACAACGGAUCUCUAGGUUCUC